CGUACUUAUUGCAUUUUUUACUAAACUUAUACUUUAACCCCUCGGUCCAAACUUAUUUGUUUUAUUAGAAAAGAAAAUACCCUAGCUUUACGUGCAAAAAUAUCAGUCCUAUUUCUUUACGCUGAUUUUAUAUGAUUUUUUUUCUAUCGAAAUUUUGAGAAUCUCAAUAAUUCUCUUGGUAUACCUCGCGUGUAGCAAACGUGCUCCACAAUUUCGCUUUGCUCGCUUCGCUCGCAAAGCUCAAUUGCUUCGCAAUAAGCGCAAGAAAUGAACACAUAAAACUUGGUACUUAUUACAAAAAUACCAAUGGGUUUGUUUACAAAGAAGCAGCCUUGAUGUUGUUUGAUGUUGUUCUUACAGAAUAUUCUCAGAAAUAAUAGACCAAAAGAAAUUACAUCACAGUUUCUUGUCCACCGCCCACGUGUGAGAACAACCCACACAAAAAAAUUGUGUGCAAUGGGAGUGAGUGAUGUAAUCUUUCAAUGCGUGUGAUGAAAAGAAAGCGAAACCGUUAUUGUUUUUUCUGCCCAAAAUUGAAGCUAUUUAAUAAAUCUUGAUAAAGUUAAAAAACUGUUUUGA